rnacentral:rRNA from 1 species
UACGGAGGGGGUUAGCGUUGUUCGGAAUGACUGGGCGUAAAGCGCGCGUAGGCGGAUCAUCAAGUCGGGGGUGAAAUCCCGGGGCUCAACCCCGGAAUGGCCUUCGAGACUGGUGGUCUUGAGUUGGAGAGAGGUGAGUGGAAUUCCGAGUGUAGAGGUGAAAUUCGUAGAUAUUCGGAGGAACACCAGUGGCGAAGGCGGCUCACUGGCUCGACACUGACGCUGAGGUGCGAAAGCGUGGGGAGCAAACAGG